rnacentral:rRNA from 1 species
CGUAGGGGGCGAGCGUUAUCCGGAAUCAUUGGGCGUAAAGGGCGCGUAGGCGGAUAUUUAAGUCAGGUGUGAAAACCCAGGGCUCAACCUUGGGAUUGCAUCUGAUACUGGGUAUCUUGAGGACAGGAGAGGAAAGUGGAAUUCCUAGUGUAGCGGUGAAAUGCGUAGAUAUUAGGAGGAACACCAGUGGCGAGGGCGACUUUCUGGACUGUAACUGACGCUGAGGCGCGAAAGCGUGGGGAGCAAACAGGAUUAGAUACCCUGGUAGUCCACGCCGUAAACGAUGAGUGCUAGGUGUAGGGGGUAUCGACCCCUCCUGUGCCGCAGUUAACACAAUAAGCACUCCGCCUGGGGAGUACGGCCGCAAGGUUG